UACGUAGGGAGCGAGCGUUGUCCGGAUUUAUUGGGCGUAAAGAGCUCGUAGGCGGCUUGGUAAGUCGGAUGUGAAAUCUCCAUGCUUAACGUGGAGCGGCCAUCUGAUACUGCUAUGGCUUGAGUCCGGUAGGGGCCCACGGAAUUCCUGGUGUAGCGGUGAAAUGCGCAGAUAUCGGGAAGAACACCCGUGGCGAAGGCGGCUCUCUGGGACGGUACUGACGCUGAGACGCGAAAGCGUGGGGAGCGAACAGG
rnacentral:rRNA from 1 species